CUGGCAGCCUGGGCUGUGCUCGCCGCUCCGCACAUAGCGCCGAGGAAAAUGCUGCUCUCCGUACCGCCAAGGGCAGGAAUCAACCCAUACAACGGCUAUAACAGCAGAAACAGCAAAAAGCAGGCCUAUGUGUCCUCCGGCCACCAGAUGGCACCCCCCAGUCCCAACAACAACAGUAGCAGCAACAGCAGCAGCGGGGCAGGGGAACAGCUGAGUAAAACAAACCUGUAUAUCCGCGGACUCCAUCCGGGGACCACGGACCAAGACCUGGUCAAACUCUGCCAACCGUAUGGCAAGAUUGUGUCAACCAAGGCCAUCUUGGAUAAAACCACCAACAAAUGUAAAGGGUAUGGCUUUGUGGACUUUGACAGUCCAGCCGCAGCACAGAAAGCUGUUACAGCUCUGAAGUCCAGUGGGGUCCAGGCUCAGAUGGCCAAACAACAAGAGCAGGACCCAACCAACCUCUACAUUUCUAACCUGCCAGUGUCUAUGGAUGAGCAAGAGCUGGAGAGCAUGCUCAAAUCCUUUGGCCAGGUCAUUUCCACACGUAUCCUAAGAGAUGCCAAUGGGACCAGCCGCGGUGUGGGAUUUGCCAGAAUGGAGUCUACAGAGAAGUGCGAGGCCAUAAUCCAGCAUUUCAAUGGGAAAUUCAUCAAGACUCCACCAGGAGUGCCUGUGCCCACAGAGCCCUUAUUAUGUAAGUUUGCAGACGGAGGUCAGAAGAAGAGGCAGAAUCAGGGGAAGUACCUCCAGAAUGGAAGGCCCUGGGCUAGAGAUGGAGACACGGGAGGAAUGACGCUUGCGUAUGACCCCACAGCCUUACAAAAUGGCUUCUACUCCUCACCCUACAGUUUGGCUCCAAACCGAAUGAUCGCCCAGACUUCCCUCUCACCCUACAUGCAUUCUCCUGUCUCAUCCUACCAGGUACACAGCCCGUCCUGGAUGCACCAUCAGUCAUACCUCAUGCAGCCAGCUGGUACAGUUCUUACCCCAACAAUGGAUCACGCUAUGUCCAUCCAGCCCACGUCCAUGAUGGGACCUCUCACCCAGCAGCUAAGCCACCUGUCCCUGGGCAGCACGGGCACAUAUAUUCCGGCCAACACAACUAUGCAGGGGACCUACAUCCCCCAGUACACCCCAGUGCCUCCCUCCAGUGUCCCAGUAGAGGUAUGAAGCUAGCCUCAACCUCAGCUGCCUACAUUUGAACUUUCAUAUAUCCAUUAAGUGGAUGACCAUUGAUUAUAACUCUUCUUGGGACGUAUUUUAUUAAAAAACAAAAAAAAAACAAAAAAAAAAACUGCUGCUAGGUCUCAUUCAUAUGUAUUUUAAAGAGGGUUUAUGUGAUAUUUUAUAACAGCUAGAAGCAGGUGUAGUGGCUCUGGUAAAUCCUGUAAAUGCAGUGUAAUGAUAUUCCGUGAGAGAUUUGGUCUUUAUUAUAUGCCAGAAGGUCGUUUGGUGUAAAAACAGUAUCAUUUGUGUCCUGUUUUGGAAAGAUGAAACACAAGCAUGGGAUGAAUUGUUAAGGUUUUAUGAACCUCAGAUUCACCCUCAUAUUUUUUUGAUUACAAUGCAUCCUUUACUCUUGUAUCACUGAAGCUGCUUUCACACAUGCACUGCAACCCUGAACUUAUCUAGACAUCACCCAGAGGAGUUAUAUGUGUGUGUAAUGCACUCGUCUGAAUCGGUUGAACAGGACAUUAAACGGACUUUAUCCUGGCAGCUCCCUGGUACAAAGUCCGUGUAAUGUCUGACUGAGCCAGUGUAUGAGUAGAGCCGGUUGUUGUCCAGAGAAUUCACAGCGAGCAAGGUGCUGUGUUGACAACGUUUCUAUCCUGCCUCCUGCACGCUCUACCAAAGCUCCACCCCUUGCCUGCUCCAAAACGGGUAUUUCCAGUAGGAGAAUGGCGGUCAACAGCAACAGGUUGCCAUGGAGACUCCUGCAGAACACACAAACUACUCGUACCAACACACCAAGUGAAGCU